GACGAACGCUGGCGGCGUGCUUAACACAUGCAAGUCGAACGAUGAAGAAAAGAAUUGAGGCUUCGGCAGAAAUUCAUUUCGGAUUAGUGGCAGACGGGUGAGUAACGCGUGAGCAACCUACCUCUUACAAAGGGAUAGCCUCGGGAAACCGGGAUUAAUACCAUAUAACAUUGCGACGAAGCAUUUCGAUGCAAUCAAAGCUACGGCGGUAAGAGAUGGGCUCGCGUCCCAUUAACCAGAUGGUGAGGUAACGGCUCACCAUAGUAACGAUGGGUAACCGGCCUGAGAGGGUGAACGGUCACACUGGAACUGAGACACGGUCCAGACUCCUACGGGAGGCAGCAGUGGGGAAUAUUGCACAAUGGAGGGAAAUCUGAUGCAGCGACGCCGCGUGAGUGAUGAAGGAAUUCGUUUCGUAAAACUCUGUUCUAUGGGAAGAAAAGGACGGUACCAUAGGAGAAAGCUCCGGCUAAAUACGUG
rnacentral:rRNA from 1 species